rnacentral:rRNA from 1 species
GAUGAACGCUGGCGGCGUGCUUAACACAUGCAAGUCGAACGAAGCAUUUAAGACAGAUUACUUCGGUUUGAGGUCUUUUAUGACUGAGUGGCGGACGGGUGAGUAACUCGUGGGUAACCUGCCUCAUACAGGGUGAUAGCAGCUGGAAACGGCUGGUAAUACCGCAUAAGCGCACAGUACCACAUGGUACAGUGUGAAAAACUCCGGUGGUAUGAGAUGGACCCGCGUCUGAUUAGCUUGUUGGCGGGGUAACGGCCCACCAAGGCGACGAUCAGUAGCCGACGUGAGAAGGUGACCGGCCACAUUGGGACUGAGACACGGCCCAGACUCAGACGGGAGGCAGCAGUAGGGAAUAUUGCACAAUGGAGGAAACUCUGAUGAAGCGGCGCCGCGUGAGUGAAGAAGUAGUUCGCUAUGUAAAGCUCUAUGAGCAGGGAAGAUAGUGACGGUACCUGACUAAGAAGCUCCGGCUAAAUACGUG